UACAGAGGUCUCAAGCGUUGUUCGGAUUCAUUGGGCGUAAAGGGUGCGUAGGUGGCGCGGUAAGUCGGGUGUGAAAUUUCGGAGCUUAACUCCGAAACUGCAUUCGAUACUGCCGUGCUUGAGGACUGGAGAGGAGACUGGAAUUUACGGUGUAGCGGUGAAAUGCGUAGAUAUCGGAAGGAACAUCAGUGGCGAAAGCGACUUCCUGGACCAAUACUGACGCUCAUGUGCGAAAGCGUGGGGAGCAAACAGG
rnacentral:rRNA from 1 species